rnacentral:rRNA from 1 species
AGUAACGGCGAGUGAAGCGGCAACAGCUCAAAUUUGAAAUCUGGCUUUCGGGCCCGAGUUGUAAUUUGUAGAGGAUACUUUUGAUGCGGUGCCUUCCGAGUUCCCUGGAACGGGACGCCAUAGAGGGUGAGAGCCCCGUCUGGUUGGAUGCCAAAUCUCUGUAAAGUUCCUUCGACGAGUCGAGUUGUUUGGGA